CUGCCAGUGCGCAUACGCUCUUUUUAAAGACUAAGCCAUGCACGUGCUAAGUUCAUACAUUUGUAAUGUGAGACUGCGGACGGCUCAGUAUAUCAGUUAUAAUCUGCUCGAUUGUCAAGGUUAGUGGAUAACCGUGGGAAAUCUAGAGCUAAUACAUGCACCUCUGGCGGACGGGCAACCGCUCGCCUUUGCAUUUAUUAGAGAGAUACCAACCGUGCGGCAACGCGCGUGGUGAAUCUAGAUAACUUUGCAGAUCGUACGGCCUAGAGCUGACGACAUUUCGAUUGAAUUUCUGCCCUAUCAACUUUCGUUGAGUGUGUAGUGUACACUCAAGGUGUUUACGGGUAACGGGAAAUCAGGGUUCGAUUCCGGAGAGGGAGCCUGAGAAACGGCUACCACAUCCAAGGAAGGCAGCAGGCGCGCAAAUUACCCAAUCCAGACAAUGGGAGGUGGUGACGAAAAGUACUAGAUGGCAGCUUAUAGUUGUCAGUCUGGAAUGAAAACAAUUUAAGCAAUUGAAUUGAGUAACGACUGGAGGGCAAGUCUGGUGCCAGCAGCCGCGGUAAUUCCAGCUCCAGUAGCGUAUCUCAAAGUUGCUGCGCUUAAAACGCUCGUAGUUGGAUCACUAACUGCGCGUCGGUGGAGCUAGGGUAUGUGCAAUAUAUCCCAUCGCCGGAGUGUGAUGUUCUCAUUGCAUUUCGGAGUUGGGAGAGCAUAUGCUUUAGUUCAAUAGCCGGCGCGUAGUAAUUGCACGUGAGGAUGACUGUUGGUCUUAAGUGCGUCGACAGUCGUGUCUCACGGGGUGUGCCUUGAGUAAAUCAGAGUGCUUAAAGCANGCUUACGCUUGAAUGUUGAUGGCAUGGAACGAACAAUCGUGUAUGGUGUGUGCUGAUUCUGGUGCGGGAGUCAUCCUUGCACUACAGUACACGACACCGACCGCCAAUUACGGAUGUUGGUUCCGUAUUGGGGUACUGAUUAAGAGGAGCGGUUGGGGGCAUUGGUAUUCGGUAGCGAGAGGUGAAAUUCUUGGACCUACCGAGGACUAACAAAUGCGAAGGCAUCUGUCCAGACCGUUUCCAUUAAUCAAGAACGAUAGUGAGAGGUUCGAAGACGAUCAGAUACCGUCCUAGUUCUCACUGUAAACGAUGCCGACCCGGGAUCAGCUUGUUAGCUAAUAUAUGCUCGAGGUUGGUCCCCCUGGGAAACCUAAAGUCUUUCGGUUGCGGGGGGAGUAUGGUCGCAAGGCUGAAACUUAAAGGAAUUGACGGAAGGGCACCACCAGGGGUGGAGCCUGCGGCUUAAUUUGACUCAACACGGGAAAACUUACCUGGUCCGGACAUCAAAAGGAUAAUCAGACUUACGCUCUUAUUUGAUAUGGUGAUUGGUGGUGCAUGGCCGUUCUUAGUUCGUGGAGUGAUCUGUCAGGCUAAUCCCGGUAACGAACGAGACUGCGCUCUCCAUUUGACGGGUCGGAGAAGGUGCGGAUCUUGGUGAGAUUUGGCAACAAGUUUCGCCUCGACUUGCAUUGCAGGCAGAGAGGGUAGGAAACAUGGAACCACGCGGAAAUCGCAAGGUGGAAGCGUGGGAAAGUGUGUCUGAUACCUCUUUCCCGCCGAUUAUACGAAGUAUGGUGGUCAAAAGCCGUACGUUGUAUCAUGGAGAGACAACGGAACAUUAUAAAAUCCGAGGAAGUGCAGCUAUAACAGGUCUGUGAUGCCCUUAGAUGUUCAGGGCUGCACGCGCGCUACAAUGGCGAUGACAGCGAGUUUCUGGAUCGAAAGAUUCGGGUAACCUUUAAUCAUCGCCGUGAUGGGGACUGACGUUUGUAAAUACGUCACGAAAGAGGAAUCCCUAGUACGUCCGAUUCAUUAAAUCGGGCGGAUUUAGUCCCUGCCCUUUGUACACACCGCCCGUCGCUACUACCGAGUGAAUGGUGUCAUAAUGCCUUGGGAGCGGAUUUGACGACGGGGUAAUACCCGUUGUCGAACUGCGAUCAGCGUAGAAUGGUACAAUUUCGAGGAAGUAAAAGUCGUAACA
rnacentral:rRNA from 1 species